UACGUAGGGUGCAAGCGUUAUCCGGAAUUAUUGGGCGUAAAGAGCUCGUAGGCGGUUUGUCGCGUCUGCUGUGAAAACUGGAGGCUCAACCUCCAGCCUGCAGUGGGUACGGGCAAACUAGAGUGCGGUAGGGGAGAUUGGAAUUCCUGGUGUAGCGGUGGAAUGCGCAGAUAUCAGGAGGAACACCGAUGACGAAGGCAGAUCUCUGGGCCGUAACUGACGCUGAGGAGCGAAAGCAUGGGGAGCGAACAGG
rnacentral:rRNA from 1 species